rnacentral:rRNA from 1 species
UCAAAUGAGAGUUUGAUCCCGGCUCAGAAUCAACGCUGGCGGCGCGCCUAACACAUGCAAGUCGCACGAGAAAGUGGAGCAAUCCAUGAGUACAGUGGCGUACGGGUGAGUAACACGUGGAUCAUCUACCUCUUAGUGGGGAAUAACCCAGGGAAACCGGGGCUAAUACCGCAUAAGCUCGAGAGAGGAAAGCAGCAAUGCGCUGAGAGAGGAGUCCGCGGCCGAUUAGCUAGUUGGCAGGGUAAAAGCCUACCAAGGCAUAGAUCGGUAGCCGGCCUGAGAGGGCACACGGCCACACUGGCACUGAAACACGGGCCAGACUCCUACGGGAGGCAGCAGUGGGGAAUCUUGCACAAUGGGGGAAACCCUGAUGCAGCGACGCCGCGUGAGCGAUGAAGCC